CCAGGCUGUGAUUUUAGUGUUGGAAAAAAAGAAAAAAAAAAAAGUGCAAGCAAACAAAACCCCCUCCCCUUACAACAACAGCCAAGAAAAAUGGUUCGUGUGUCCCAGACGAGCGUUGCAUGUUCUUCUUUCUCUGGAAAUGUUCAUCUAAUUUGGCCACCGGCACUGGGGGAAGUUCAGCUUUCAAACAGAAACCUCAUUAGUUUCUCCCAGUUUGGGUCUAUGCAGUUUUUCCCAGUUCUGCCUUUGAUUGUUUUGCCUUUUUGUCUUCUGAAUCAAAGAAAGCAUGAAAGUACUUGCGGAGCUGUACGCAAGGGAAUAAUCCACCCAGGCCACUGAAAUGCUCACAGAAUAUACUUUUUUGGUGAAAUCUUCCAGACCCGAAGUCUUAGAAAAACUGCCGGAAUAAUAACGCAACCAUUCUUUAAAGCAAAGGAAUGGAACCAAGAGGUUGGCCGAUGAUCUUUACCACCGAGGACGGCCACUUGCAGCUCCCGGAGACUCGUUCAGGCCCUUUCUCGUCUCCUCUUGCCCUGUGAGAUGACUCACUGCACGGACCCAGGGCUGUGCCACGGACGUCCUUCUCUCCGGGAGGAAUUUUUCCAGGAUUGUUACUCCUUGGAAGAGUGCCCAAACUCAAGAUGCCAUGGGGAUUGGGAAGAGCCUGAAUUCAGAGCUUAUGCAGCGGGGAGGUAACCAGCCAGGUCUGAGGCAGCAAGGGGAUGCCUCGAGGGGCACAACUGGCCAGAGGUUUUGUCUUUGCCAGCCCCAGAAGGCAGAUGGAGACUGGCAGCAGCUGGAGCCCGGACUGCAGCACUGUGUUGGGACUGUUUCCACAUACCCCGCUGUAGAAAAAUGAUCUUGACCUAUAAGUUACCUGGUGAUUUUUGUUGCUCAUCCCCUCAUUUGCCAGUGGUAUCUAAAUGGGAUUUACACACCAGCUUUCAGCAUCCAGGAACGAACCAGAGCGGGGGCUGCCAAUCCAUUAUUUCAAGGUACGUUUGCAAAUAAAGCAUAAAACUGAGGUUUUAUGCACAAGUACACUUACAUUAGGCUGUAAAACCAUCCCUAACUUAGCUUCAGGCCCCGUGUCCGUCUCCUUCGGCGCGGCAGCGGCUUUGCCAGCGCUCCUGCACGCACCCGCCGCGGGUUCAAUGGGCCGUUACGUUCCUCCAGGCUGCCUCCCUGGAGACAUUUCCAAAAAAAAAAAAAAAAAAAAAAAUCCUAACCUGAUUAUGAUAGAAUAAAGGACAUAAAAAUGAUAUAUUGCUUUGUGUAUUUUUCAUAUCAUGUGCUCAUGACACUGUUUUUCCAUGUGCUAAAAAUACGUUCUAUAACGGCGGAAUCGGUCCCAAGCUGCCGGUGGCCAAAUUGAUGGAUACGCUUAGUCCUGAAGAGCUCGGGCUUCCUUUGGUUUCUUUCCUCAGUGAUUGUGUCUGGUCCUCAGCGAUAAAAAUACAAUUAAUUUUUGGCAUUAAAAAAUAAAGGUGUCCCAUAAAAGAAAGCAGCCCCCUACAAAUAUAUUACAGGGAGGAUAAAUUGUGCAGUCACC